UCUUUGCAGCUUCCUCUACUCUCUUCUGAGUAAGCUUGUUUUCAAUCUCUUCAAUCCUUGCUGUAAUGGUACUCAGUGCCACUUGCUCCAGUGUAUUCUCAGGUGGAGGUUGCUCUAGAUUUUUCUUCAUCUUCUCUAAAGUUUGCAGGUGAACCAUCUUCUUCAACUUCUUGAAAGUGACAUUCAUCUCCAUUCCUUCAAUUUUCAUAAUGAUCCUUGAUGGAUGAGCACGAACUCUAGAAGUGUUGUGGACAGUCUCUACAGCUUUUCUUAUCUCCAGAAGAUCAACCAAAUCUUUGAGCACACUCUUGUCUUCUUUUACCACUGACCACUUAACAGCUGCAACUGCACGAGUGAUUCUUUUGGAAUUGAGUUUUCCAAUCUCUGUGAGUGGUAUAGCAGUGACUUCAGAGUCUUUCUUCUUCUUGAAUAUUACAGAUGUAGGAUUGUAAGUAACAACUGGUGCAUUUGGAUUUUCAGGAACUUCAGGGUCUAGUGGAGGCAGUGGAUAUGGUGGUUGACGAUUGAUGGCUGAUAAGUCUAAUUCUCUCAGAGCAGCAAAGUUCAGACGAUAGGCAUAUAGCAGUUCAGCAGUUAGUCUUCCCUUGCUAGUCCUUGAGCACUUCUCCCUGACUUGAGCUUCAAGAUAUUUCAGUAUACGAGGAUUGUAUCACGCCUCCUACGCUUAUCACUCACCUACGCUUUUGCAGCAUGCCCCCUUCGGGCAAUACGGCUUUCUAAACGCGAAGCAGCUGAGCGAUAGCUCUUCGAUCGCUAUAUUCUUGCGAUAGCGAAGGAUCGAAGAGCGAAGUUACGGCUUUAGGCGAAGAGCGAUAGCGAAAGCCUUAAGUCUUAUUGUUUUGUUCCCGAACAACGAUCAUUCAUUACGGCCGGCCCGACCAAAG
rnacentral:lncRNA from 1 species